rnacentral:rRNA from 1 species
UACGGAGGGUGCAAGCGUUAUCCGGAUUCACUGGGUUUAAAGGGUGCGUAGGCGGGCAGGUAAGUCAGUGGUGAAAUCUCCGGGCUUAACCCGGAAACUGCCGUUGAUACUAUCUGUCUUGAAUAUCGUGGAGGUAAGCGGAAUAUGUCAUGUAGCGGUGAAAUGCUUAGAUAUGACAUAGAACACCCAUUGCGAAGGCAGCUUACUACACGAUCAUUGACGCUGAGGCACGAAAGCGUGGGGAGCAAACGGG